GGCGGCGUGGUGUAAUGGAUAGAACAUCAGUCCGGUCAACUGAAGAUGCUGGUUCGCAUCCAGCAGCCGAAU